UUUAGUCAGACUAAAAGGUAGUAAACCAUUUGACACUAAAAAUUGAUCAAUAUUGAAAUCACUCUCUCAUAAAAUAUAUAUAAACAUUUUUUACCGUUCCAUCUCAAACCAUGUACAAUCAAUCAGCUUCAGGUUGGUAAUGCCAACGCAAAAGCCAACCUAUUUUUGCUUCACGCCGGCAUGCAACUGCUGACCUAAAUCUUUGUAACAAG